GGUUCGGUGGUGUAGUGGUUAUCACGUCUGUCUCACAUUUAUAUGUGCACAGGAGGUCCCCGGUUCGAGACCGGGUCGAACCA
rfam:Lentinula edodes NBRC 111202 DNA, contig: scaffold695.